rnacentral:rRNA from 1 species
UACAGAGGGUGCGAGCGUUAAUCGGAAUUACUGGGCGUAAAGCGUGCGUAGACGGUUAUUUAAGUCGGAUGUGAAAGCCCCGGGCUCAACCUGGGAAUUGCAUUCGAGACUGAAUAGCUAGAGUGCGGUAGAGGGAAGCGGAAUUUCCGGUGUAGCGGUGAAAUGCGUAGAUAUCUGGAGGAACACCGGUGGCGAAGGCGGCAUCCUGGACCGGCAUUGACGCUGAGGCGCGAAAGCUAGGGGAGCAAACGGG